GGGCUGCAGUGAGGAAUUUUGCGCAAUGGGGGAAACCCUGACGCAGCAACGCCGCGUGAGUGAAGAAGGAUUUCGGUUCGUAAAGCUCUGUCAAGUGGAAAGAAACUAUUAGUCGUUAAUAGCGGUUAAUACUGACGGUACCACUGAAGGAAGCACCGGCUAACUCCGUGCCAGCAGCCGCGGUAAUACGGAGGGUGCAAGCGUUAUUCGGAAUUAUUGGGCGUAAAGGGCGCGUAGGCGGCAAUAUAAGUCAGAUGUGAAAGCCCUGGGCUUAACCUAGGAAGUGCAUUUGAAACUAUAUUACUUGAGUAUGGUAGAGGGAAGUGGAAUUUCUGGUGUAGAGGUGAAAUUCGUAGAUAUCAGAAGGAACACCUGUGGCGAAGGCGACUUCCUGGACCAAUACUGACGCUGAGGCGCGAAGGCGUGGGGAGCGAACAGGAUUAGAUACCCCGGUAGUC
rnacentral:rRNA from 1 species